GCCUGUCUAAUCCCAAAACAAUCAUAAUGGUGAAAAUAUUGGACUUAGCCUGGGAAGGUUUAGUUUCACAUGGAAACUCACUGUGUGACUUUUGGACCAAUUAGUCACUCUCAUCAAUCUUGUGGCGAUCAAUUGCAGGGAUAGCCCCAUAUACUGCGAUUUGGAAGACAAAGACCAAGGAGGAAGAGUAAAUUAAAUGGAAUGAAAUGAUGACCAGCCAGUCUGAAGGCAAACUUUCGACUACUCAAGGACACUCAAUAAACCAUCCACCAUCUUUUCUGACCAGGAUUGAAAAACGUGGCAGUGGGGUGUUACCAAAAUCAAGUGGCAAGCAGGCUACAUUUGUUUCUCUGGAGGUCACAGGUAAGGCAAGAUUUCUCUGGAAGACAGGUGAGUAGCCUCAAUUGCAAGCUAGAUCUUACCCACGCCAAGGACAUAACUCAGGUGGAUCUGCAGGGACUUUGGCUCUCCUUCUUUCCUUCCUAGGCAUUCCUGCCCUUAUAUGGCAAAAGCUGGUGGCGACAGAGGGAAGGAAGGGACAAAGGUCGCCCUGGCACUUCCUCUGUUCAGGCACACUCUUUCUCCAAGGUGCUGUGUGCCCACUAAGCAGACACAACAGCCAAGCUACAAAGGAUUAGUCACCAUGCCGGAACUUAAUACCAAAGUCACCAAGACUCUGAACAAAACCACACCUGGACUUCAAAUAUGGAGAAUUGAGGUGAGAAUGAAUGUGAAUAUGCGCAAAAACCCAUGUGGAUGGAAGGACAGUAUUCCAUAGAACAAUGAGCAGAUGUCUAUGUAGAAGAAACUAGUUGGUGGCAAUUUUACACAAGAACUACCCAGCUUGUAGCUUCCCAAAGCAUGGAGCCAGCCUCAGGAAAAUCAAAAAAGUGUUACCAAAAUCUAAUAUUAAUAUUACAAAAAAUGGGAUUCUUUAAAACACAAGAC